CGCGGGAGUCGCGGCGCUGCGGGUAGGAGCCGGGUUGCGGGAGACCCCAGGUUCGGUUGGGAUUCCCAGCCAGAACGGAGCUUAAGCCGGGCAGGCGAGCGAAUGACGGAGUAGCGAGCUGCACGGCGGCGUGCUGCGCUGUUGAGGACGCUGUCCCGCGCGCUCCCAGGCCGCCCCGAGGCUUGGGGUCUUCGAAGGAUAAUCGGCGCCCGGGGCCGAACAGCGGGGGCACACGGGGCGCUGCCGAAGUGCAAGGCCACGGCCAGAGCUCGAGCCCGACGCGCUGUCUGGAGUCGUAGGUUGGCGCCGUUUGGGGUCGGGGUCUGAGGCUUGGGCGCUGCCUGGGCCGAGCGGAGAUCGGGGUUUGCCUCCCGUCCCCGCUCAGGACCCUGACGUGGCUGAAGCGGCCCCGGGAGCAUGAGCGGGCAGCGCGUGGACGUCAAGGUGGUGAUGCUGGGCAAGGAGUACGUGGGCAAGACUAGCCUGGUGGAGCGCUACGUGCACGACCGCUUUCUGGUGGGGCCUUAUCAGAACGUGAGUGCAUCCGGAGGGGCCAGGCACGGUGGGCGGGGGAGUGGGGGGCCGGUAAUCUGCACCUAUGGCCCCGAUCUCUUCCCUCUCGUUGCAGACCAUCGGGGCCGCCUUCGUGGCCAAGGUGAUGUCGGUCGGAGACCGGACUGUGACAUUAGGUAUUUGGACCUCACAGACAGCAGCAGCUUUGAGCGAGCAAAGUUCUGGGUGAAGGAACUGCGCAGCCUAGAGGAGGGCUGCCAAAUCUACUUAUGUGGCACCAAGAGUGACCUGCUGGAAGAAGACCGGAGGCGUCGACGUGUGGACUUCCACGACGUCCAGGACUAUGCAGACAGUAGCUGCUCCUCAGCCCUUUGGGGGGUGGGGGUGUGUGGCUGUCUGGGUGGAUCAAAGAAAAUAGGGACUGCCUUGGCUGCCAGGGCAAGGUGCUCUAGGAGGUCUUCCUGGCCUCCUUGAACUGUGGGGUCCAGGAGACUCCCUGAACUGCUAGCCCUCCCUUUUGUCUGUUUAUCUAAUUCUCAGGUAUGAGGCUUUAGUCACUUCUCUUUACAGAUAUCAAAGCUCAGCUCUUUGAAACAUCCAGCAAGACAGGCCAGAGUGUGGGUGAGUGCUGUGCUGGAGCCUCACAGCAGGAACAUGCAGGGGCACCAGAGGAAGCUGAAUAGGGCACAGAGGGCUGGGUCACUGGGAGAUCCCAGGGCUACUGGCAUUGGGCCCUCGCUGAUCAUCAUUUUUCCUGCCAGACGAGCUCUUCCAGAAAGUGGCAGAGGAUUACGUCAGUGUGGCUGCCUUCCAGGUGAUGACAGAGGACAAGGGCGUGGAUCUGGGCCAGAAGCCAAACCCCUACUUCUACAGCUGUUGUCAUCACUGAGUCAGCACUCACCUGGCCUGGGGGAAUUAAAGGAAUUCCCCGUAAGGGCUGGACCCAGCUCCUUUCUGGGCUUGGGUAGUCAAAUGUCUGAGCUACCCCAGGUCCUCAUGUCAGCAGAGUGGCGCCUGCCUGUGCUGGCCCAUGGAACGGAGACAGCAUUGGGCUGACUGUGGGCAUGAGGAGGGAUAAGGCUGAUUUGGACCCCAGGCUUCUGCCCUGGACAGCACUUGUGUCUGCAGA
rnacentral:lncRNA from 1 species